CCAGGACAUUUGAUAUGUGACAAUUGUUUAUUACAAAAGCAUUUCAAAGGACAAGUGAUUAAUUAGCAAUACGGCACAACACUAAUGGUGUACAUUGAAUUCAUUUUUCCUUACAUCCUUGAUACAGCGUAUUGUUUGGGUGUAUGUAACUCGGUGCUCAGUAGUACUACAAGAGAAGUCAGUGACUGGAUGCAUUUGGCUAAAACAUCUCUAUGGAUAUACCUUCAUUGGUAUGUUGAAUGCAUUGGCUGAGAGCGAUAACAAACACACUGCGUGCUCUUUUUCUCACACACAUACACACAAUUACAGAAGGCACAUGAAUAAGUUGUUCUUUAAAAACUAAAAUAUGUUAGCACAUUUCAAAAGGUGAUGCAACUCCUCAAAACGUGCUUAUUAAUUCUGCCACUCAGCACAAAGUUAGUUAUUUAGUGAUUGUUAGAUUAUUAGUUCAUUAGUGGGUUAGUUUGUUAGUUUGCAGAUAGAUAUUAAAAUUGUUUCGUUAGUCGAAGUUGAUUUAUCUUUAGCAGACGUUAGUAGGUUGUUUAUAAGGACUUCCGGCGAGCAGGUCACUGACCCUGCUGGAGCAACAGGACUCCUAACAAGCAUCCUCACUCAUGGCACUAAAAGAUGUUUGGAAUAAAAAACUUCCAUCUACUGUAAUUUAAUAAGCAUCACUAGUGCCACAAGGCAUGCUCGUGUAUUUGAUUAAAGAAGAACAAAGAGACGGGAUGAUUUGAUUACACACAUCAGGAUGUUUCAGUCAGAAGGAACGCAGAUGUUAGUAACAGCAGUAGGGUGGGUGUUUACAGCCUCACCAAGGUUAGUAUCAAUACCAUAAUAAGUUAGUGGUGGAGUUGAGGUUUGCUUGGUCUGAGCUGACAAGCAGCCAGGCACUCAUCUGCAAGGGUUGACCACAUAGGUCGAGACAGAAAGACGGUCUCUUAAGAUGGGAAUUUUAAAGCCUGUGAUUUGAGACACGGUGACGUGAUAUUAUUUUACGAUCAGAUCAUGAUCGGUUUUAUGAGGAUUCUGAAGUAUGUGGUCAAACCAGUUGGAUAUCAGCAGCUGAUUAUCCUCCUCUUUCAAUCUAGUGGUUAAUAACAUUUACCCUCCCAAGUCCUGAAACCCUUCUUGACUUGUUCACUUUUUUAUUUUUUAACCGUUUUUAUUGAUUAUUUUAUUUUAAUAAUGCAUCUUGGUCUAGGCUUUCUACAAGAAGGAUUGCGGGAUCAUGAGAGAGGCGUGUUUGCAUUGGACUGCGGGCAUAAAGCAGAGGGUUAGUCAGGGGGUUAGAAAGAACAAAGCCAGCCAUCAGCAUUCGGAGAACAGGUUAGUAAUCAUCAGACUGUUAGCAGACAUUAGUAUUGUUAGAUAUUAGUCAGGUAUUGUUAGUAGAACCCAGAUCUCGGUAAAAAGCUAUUUGCACAUAAUAAUUAGCAUUUGCUGCAGUAUUGGAUGAUGGGGCGUUAAGCUUUGGAACGGUUUAAUUGAUGCUAGCAGGCAUCGUUUAGAAAACUACACACCAUUCAUUUCCAGCCUGAUUCCUGUAACUGUCUAGAUCACAGGAACCCCCACCAAACUGCUUCAAUGGGGUCCUAACAAAUGCUAAGAAUCAUUUGUAAAUAUGUUUUAAUCCUUUGUCUGGUACAUUCAGUGUGGUAUAGGAAGAGAGAAAAACAAAUCCACUGAAAAGCAGCUCGAAGCUUCAGGCCAAUUACAAAAGUGUGUUUUCAUAGAGACACAUGCAGAUAUACAGGAAUAAACACACACACACACACACACACACACACACACAAAUAGAGCACAUGCACACAAACACAUGCUCUCACGCCGGCACACACCUGCCCACACGCUUCAGUAAAAAUACACUGAGUACCGUCAAACCAUAAAAGUAUCAAGACAAACAAAGAACAUAAUGUGUGAAUUACACAUUGUCAAAAUGUGAGAAAACUAGUCUUUCUUAAUCAGAUAAGCAGAUUAUUUUUUUAUGUUACAGGCUAAAAAUAUCAAAAGCUUUCUCGUCCUGGAUCUGGCACCGAUAACGUUUUGGCUUUGGAGAAAAGUUAACACGUUACAGGAUCAUUUCUGGUUCAUUUAAAGUGUCCGAUACAGGGAAAAGAAGCCAGAAUGUUUGAUGCAGUAACCGAAGUAAUGGAUCAAAGAGGUCAGUGAAACGCACGGCGUUAAAUACUUCCGUGUUUUUAAAUCAGCCAAACAAAGUAAUGAUAGUGGGAGUGAAUUUAGCUUCAUCAGUAUUACUUACAGCUGAGAAAAGGUGCAUAUUUGAAAUAGGAAGAAAUGCAACAGAAAAAUGAUUUUGGACUCAAAACGCCAGCUGUGAAAUGCCUUCCUGUUCGCAUUGACACUGUCCACAAAGCGGCAGUGACAGCGCAUUUUCACUGACGCGCAAAAGCAUCAGAAGUCGCCUCUCAGUGGGGGAAACACAUGGGACGUGGAUCCUCUCCUUCUCGGGCUCUGGUCAUCAGGGACGGCGCCAUGCAUCCAUCACUGCUUGAGAAAUGAAACAACGGCUGUUAAAGCCUGAAAUACAGAAGUGAUUUUAUGAUUGUUCUGAUUGUUAACAGAUUAAACAUUUUCCUUAAAUGUUCUUUUGUCAAGGUCUCCACUUUCAGGUUGGUUUAACUCACCUCUGCAAUAAUCCUGGAAAACCAUAGCAGUUUUUUAGCUGAAAAUAUGGCAGUUAUUUAACUCAAAACUAAUCUCCCAUGUUCUAUCUGCUAAACAUUUAUCUUCACUUUCCGCAGGCACAGGGGCUCCACACACAUAGACACAUAGACAUAUACUGUUACAUGGGCCAAGAGAAAGACUACGGGUUCAUAAGAAUUGUCCCCGCAGUUUAUAUUCAGCGAGGCCAAUAUAACAGGUCACAGUGCUGAACAUGAAUAUGAGAGGAGUGAAAGUCACAAUGGUGUAACUCUACUGUCAGAUCCUUUACCGGUCUGUCAGGCAGCACAGCAGAGGACGAUGGAGCCGACCCGGCUCGUGAGGUCCGGAGUGCGCGUCAGUGCCGCUGGAGAGGAUUACACAACACAAAGCAGCAGAAAUGUGGGACACAACCCAACUGUCCUCCCGAGAUGCCCCAGAGAUCACUUACUGAUUUCUAUACGGUCAAAUGAGUACACCAACUGCCAACGAAUAUAAGUUACAGUAUCAGCCAUCUGAUUCACCGACUAAUACUAAAAUGUGCCAUUUUGUGCUAUUCAAAAAACAACAAACAACAACUCCCUUGUGUUUUUUUAAUACACAUAAUCAAGCCUGUACACAUGACCUGUCCUGCUGCUGGUUCCCAUUCUGAAGUGUGAUGACCAGGGACAUGUCGGCACCACUGUAGAGGAGUCCAGCAACACCGGCCACAGGUUACCUAAAAUAUAAAGGCACGCUGAAUAAGUACAGUGGAUCUCUAGAUGAUCCACUAUGUAUUUGCAUUCAUUUCGGGCCGAUAUAAUGGCCCAAUUUGUCAUGUACAUAUUUGAUGACCAAAGACAGCAAACGAUGAUAGUUCAGUUCCUGCAGAUACUGCUAUUUAGGGAUGAAAGACCACACAGGCUAUAGAUAAUUUUGUUAAAUAAUGAAAUAGACCUUGAAUCUAAUCUGGCAUGUGUCCACCACAAAUAGCCUUGCUAGAAAUAUGCAUAUUUGAAGAGUAAGGGUGUGGGCUGAGGGAAGAUAGAUCAGGCCCUCCACUGCAGGGAAUGAAACGACUUCAUGUUUGUCUACACAUUCAUCCAACCGAACGAGGAGGAUUCCUAUAGAACAAUAAAACCAGGUGAAAUCACAACAGAAUAAAAUGAGCUGUGGUGUGUUUUUCCUACCAGUGAUCUCCGCGUUCCACCGCGUAGGUGACCCGCAGCAUCAGGCGACGCAACAACAACAAAAAAUCUUCUUUCUUUCUUCUUUUUCUUCCACGAUAAGAGGCGCCGACAAACGUGCAGAUUCAUGGCGCAUAUGUGUGCAGCGAUUAGCCCGCAGCGGACCGGACACGCUACGCGCAACUUACACGAGCCGCGGCCGAGCGUCGUCUGCAUGGCUGCCGAGCCGAGACAGGCAGAUGUGGGAGCGCCCGCAGCAGCUGCGCACUGACGGGGGGGGGAGCAGUCCGAGGGAGAACGGGACAAAGUGGAGACGGGAGCCCCGGGGACAAAGAAGAGGAAAAAUGGACGGGAGGUAUUACGAGAGAACAGAGACGUCUUUGAAUAAGAGGGACUGCGCGGCCCUGAUUUAAUCAGCGGGCUCGCUCUCCAGCUGCUGCCACAGGUUUAUGCUCUUUUGUAUGCGCGCCCUUCAUCCACCAUCUGCGUUUCCCGGGCAACCGAGGGCUGCCUGCAGGCGCCAGCAGCUCGUGCACAGCAACCACCUCCAUCGGGUCUAAUGCACCUUAAAGAGACGCUCUGUAACAUAAAGACAUGCACAUGGAAUCUUCUCCUGCUCUUAUUUAUGUGUCAUGAUGCAUUUAGCAGAGAAAUACUGUCCACGUUCAUCGGUGCUGUGGUGAUUCAUUUCAUAUGACAUUAAUGGCAACAGCUGAUCUUAUCUAAUUGAACUAAUUCAUUUUGAAAGUUUCAUGCCUGCUUGAUUUAUGUAAUUAUAACUUCAUUGUCUGAUAAUGGUUUUAUGGUGGUUUUGAAAACGUUUUUAACAGAAAUAGGAGGAACUAUUGACAACAAUACAUGGUAUUGUACACUGGUUAAAGAAAAAUAUAUAUUCAGAGAUCUCUAUGGUGCAUUUUGGGGCCUGGGGGGAUAGAGGAAGGACCCUCGCAGUGAGCUUUUGGUACAUCUUGUGUGUGAUCCAACGAAUAAAUCCUAUUAAAUUACAUCAUCAUGAAUUGGAACUAAAAAUAAAAAAGAUCAAACCCUGAUCAUUGAACAAUAUCCGACUAAACAAUGAGAUUCCUGAUUGAGUGACGCGUCAAACUAGCCUGUGAUACACAACACAUACAGAACCAUGUAGGCUGCAUGCCAUCCAGAUGUAAAAGCAACAAAUAAACUGUCCCAAACUACUGAAAUCCCUUCUCCAACCUGACCCUGAGCAGAGGAUCACUCCCAAGAACCCUCUCCAGCACCUUUCAUCAAAAUGGCCCAUCUGGUGGGCGAGAUGGAGACCAGCUUGAAGUUAGUUACUGUGCCCGGUAUGGCUGAAUGGAUGGAUGAUUGGACCUCUGAUUUACUGAUUCAUUGAUUGAUUGUCAUGUUUCAUCCACUGGGGACAAGUCCCUUGACAAAACGCUGGUAUGCCGAAUGGAAAGCUUAGAAGAGGAGCUUCCCUCUGACAAUGGGGCUGAUGAAGGUAAAUGGAUUUCGGCCACACAUCGUGAAUUUGGCACAGGCUCAGCCGCUCUUUGCUUCCGUGAUGGCAUCGCAGAUAUGCCUCUCUCAAAGGAUGGAGCGGCAGAUGCUUGAGUUAUAUGCUUCUGGCUCAGCUGAAGACAAAGCAGCUGUCCGCUGCAGCCAGUCCACCUGAGGAAACGCCUCAAGAGCAAGCUGAAGGUCAAAAUCAAAUUAUAUUAUACUAUUUGGAAAGGAACACGUGGAUAUCUUUUGUUUGAAUAUAAUUAAAAU
ensembl:lncRNA